ACCACAUCCAGGCCAGCGACUGCCGCUCCCCUGUAGCGGGAGCGCCCGAGGAGGCAGCAACGCUCUUGCACCCAGUCACCAGGAGGACGACAUGACUGAUACAAAGUUGCUGCGACACAGCCUGGACUCGGCGGCUCCCUUAAAGCCGCACGGGCGACCUGGGUGCCGAGCAGCGGCUACGACACCAGGCAGCCGGCCCCCUGCGCACGCUGACCCCCGCCCCUCGCUCAGCAGCCCUCAGCUUACUCGCGCCACCUGGCUCUCCUGCCCACCCUACGAUAGCUGAAAAGACAUGCAAAGUGUGGUGACGCGUCAAAGUCGGCUUUUCCGAGAGCCAGUCAAGGUGUAAUCCCCUCACGCUCUCCACCUGCAGCGCCAGGUGAAGGGCAGCCCUGGCCCAGACUCCACCCGCAGCGUCCGCUCGCAGGGGAGGACUCCCGCGGGGGCCGCACCGACCCCCAAGGUCCUCUCCACGCCCCUUUCCUGGGUUUCCGAGUUACCUCUCAGCAGAGCAGCCGCAGUGUCCGCUGCCAGCUUGCAAGAGGAUCACGUUCCCACUUGAUUUGAAUUUCCUUGUUUUAACCGUGCAGGAAAAGUGGGUGAUUUCAGCGUCGCCGAGCCUUUUAAACACAGCCUCUCACCCACUUCCUCACCCCCACCAACCAAAAAAAAAAAAAAGUACCAGGGUCAGGAGCUGCUGCUCUCUCUCCUUAUAAUUCUGUUACUGUCCUUACUACUUUAGCGCUGGAUUUUUCCACUAGUUCAAUGAGAAAGAAAAGCCUUCGGUCGAGGAUAUUCACUUCUUUAUAAUGGGUGGCAGUGGUUGCAUAUAACUGGGGGGAACAUACAGGAGAGGGGGAAGGAACCGAACUGUUUCCUAAGGAUACGGCAUCUGCAAGAAGAAAUGCCCGAUUCCCUCCAACCGCCCCUACCUCGACUCUCCUCUCGCCCACCCAACCUCUGGACUUCUUAACUCCGAUAUCUAAGGACGUUGAGGGUCCGCGUGUGCGGCUCGGUUUUAGGCUCCCAGCUGGCUCCAAAUCAGCACCAGUGACGUACACGCCUAAAUCUGGUACCCUGGCCCUCGGCGACCUGCCUGCAGCCGGGCGCCAGCAGCUGCUCAGCCUCCCGCCUCACCCUCGCCCCGCGCCCGCGUUAAGUCGUGGGGAAGGCGUUCACCCUGUGCCCAAAGGCCCCUCUUCGCCUUGCAGUUAAUUAAGCUUCGGGAUUUCGGACCCUGAAAGCGAGAA